GAGAAGAGAAACUAUGGAAAAAAUUUUCCAAGAGGGAGAAAGAAGAGAGAACCAAGAGGAAAAGCUAGGACAAAGUUCAAGCUUUAUACAACCUCAAAGAAGGGCCACGGUUUGGAAGAGGAAAAAGAGCCAAGUAAAGGGCCUUCACUAGCCAAGAGCAAGGGCAAAGAGGUGGCCAAGAAGAAAAGGUAAAGUAUCUUGAAGAAGUUGGAAAUUCAAGAAGACAUAGAAAAACCCUAUUUGCAAAGUUAUGUAAUUAAAGUAUGUUUUAGGGUUUAUGUCUUCAUGCAUGGUAGAAAAGCAUGCUAGAUGUUAUUAUGAAGUUAUUUGCAUGCUUA